rnacentral:rRNA from 1 species
GAUGAACGCUGGCGGCGUGCCUAAUACAUGCAAGUCGAGCGAACAGACGAGGAGCUUGCUCCUCUGACGUUAGCGGCGGACGGGUGAGUAACACGUGGAUAACCUACCUAUAAGACUGGGAUAACUUCGGGAAGCCGGAGCUAAUACCGGAUAAUAUAUUGAACCGCAUGGUUCAAUAGUGAAAGACGGUUUUGCUGUCACUUAUAGAUGGAUCCGCGCCGCAUUAGCUAGUUGGUAAGGUAACGGCUUACCAAGGCAACGAUGCGUAGCCGACCUGAGAGGGUGAUCGGCCACACUGGAACUGAGACACGGUCCAGACUCCUACGGGAGGCAGCAGUAGGGAAUCUUCCGCAAUGGGCGAAAGCUUGACGGAGCAACGCCGCGUGAGUGAUGAAGGUCUUCGGAUCGUAUAACUCUGUUAUUAGGGAAGAACAAAUGUGUAAGUAACUAUGCACGUCUUGACGGUACCUAAUCAGAAAGCCACGGCUAACUACGUG